rnacentral:rRNA from 1 species
CCUACGGUUGGCAGCAGUGGGGGAUAUUGCACAAUGGGGGGAACCCUGAUGCAGCGACGCCGCGUGGGUGAAGAAGCGCCUCGGCGCGUAAAGCCCUGUCAGCAGGGAAGAAAAUGACGGUACCUGAAGAAGAAGCCCCGGCUAACUACGUGCCAGCAGCCGCGGUAAUACGUAGGGGGCAAGCGUUAACCGGAUUUACUGGGUGAAAAGGGGGCGCAGGCGGGGUUGCAAGCCAGGAGUGAAAGCCCGGGGCCCAACCCCGGGACGGCUGUGGGAACUGCGUGGCUGGAGUGCAGGAGGGGCAGGCGGAAGUCCUGGUGUAGCGGUGAAAUGCGUAGAUAGCAGGAGGAACACCGGUGGCGAAGGCGGCCUGCUGGACUGCAACUGACGUUGAGGCCCGAAAGCGUGGGGAGCAAACAGGAUUAGAUACCCUGGUAGUC